rfam:Erinaceus europaeus unplaced genomic scaffold scaffold00032, whole genome shotgun sequence
GGGUGUUAGGGCAAUAUGGCAGUGACAUCUGUCACCCCACUGAUCAGCAGGAUAGAUAUGGCUGACCUGACUGGCCAGGCAGGUUUCCGCUUCCUCCCUCAUUGUUCAGUGUGUGUGUGUUCUUGAAGCUGUGCACUUGGUCAAAGGGCAGCCUUUUCUGAUAGAUAGAGAAGGAUCACUCUGUGGUCAAGGUCAUAUGAUUAGUUGUGUCUCUUUGCUGGAGCCUUCAAGUAUACUCACUAAAAUUUCCUCUGAGAAAUUUAAACUUGUGUUUAAGACAAAGCAGUUGCUUUGCAGCUCCAGGUGACUCUGGAGUCCAGAGGGACUU